rnacentral:rRNA from 1 species
AACGAACGCUGGCGGCAGGCCUAACACAUGCAAGUCGAGCGCCCCGCAAGGGGAGCGGCGGACGGGUGAGUAACGCGUGGGAACGUACCCUUUGCUACGGAAUAGCCUCGGGAAACUGGGAGUAAUACCGUAUGUGCCCUUCGGGGGAAAGAUUUAUCGGCAAAGGAUCGGCCCGCGUUGGAUUAGGUAGUUGGUGGGGUAAUGGCCUACCAAGCCGACGAUCCAUAGCUGGUUUGAGAGGAUGAUCAGCCACACUGGGACUGAGACACGGCCCAGACUCCUACGGGAGGCAGCAGUGGGGAAUCUUAGACAAUGGGCGCAAGCCUGAUCUAGCCAUGCCGCGUGAGCGAUGAGGGCCUUAGGGUUGUAAAGCUCUUUCAGUGGGGAAGAUAAUGACUGUACCCACAGAAGAAGCCCCGGCUAACUCCGUG